GUACGGAGGACGGAGGACGCACGACGUGGCCCGCGGAGGGGCGCAGAGUCGUCCCACGGCAGCGGGAACGUGGGCGCUGCUCCAACGGCUCACUCCUCCUCUCAAGAACAAGAGGCACAGGCGCCGAACCUGAGGGGACUUAGACACGACAUUACAAAUGGCCGCCAGGGAACGAACAAGGUCUUGAGCCAGCUCUGCUGCCUCUGAGGCAGCACCCAGACCAGAGGGCGCCUUGAAGAAGCCCGUGCGAUCAUAAGGCUUCAGCGCCAAUCCUGUCGGCACCAGCGCUAGCCCACCAGACUCGAUACCACCUGCCCCACACGCGUCACUGACCUGUGCCGGCCAUUCAUCUCCAAGCCCACGACGGGGCAGAUGAACCGCGCCCGCUGCAGGUCGUCAUGUUUGUCACCUUUUGUGCUUCCUCUAUCCCCUUCCCAGGCGGGAUUAUCAGAAAGCCUUAGUUCUGUCACAUUCUGUGAAAAAACAUCAGUAUUUUAAGACUUCAUCCGAUAUGUGGAUCAUCCUUAGCCUCAAUAACCACCUAAAUCGACAGAGAAAUUGUUAUUGCGGUCCUUUUCCAUCCAAGUCUCUUCUUCCUACUUUCCUUUGGCCAAUGCUUAUCAUAUGAAUAAAAAGAUGAAACCAUAAAUUGUGGGAGGAAACAAGAGAUCUUAAACUCACUGGCAAGUCAAUUAGUUAAUUUCUACUUUACAAAUAUUUUGCUAUUUAGGGAAAAGUAACUUUGAACAUGAAAAACUAUGCUGCUAAGAGAGAGUUCUGUGUUAGUUUCAUCCAGAAUGGAACAUUUUCUUUCUCUGCAGAUGAAUCCUCACUGAGGUGUUCUGUAUACUGGUCGCCCAUGUUUAUUUAAUACCUGAACAGACAGUAGAAGCUAUGAAGCCACGGUCUAAUAAGUCCAAGGCAGACUAUUAGCCAGGGAAUACUAUUAUAGUCCACAAGCUGGCCAUUCAGGUUUUCAAAAACACGCCUUCACAAGGAGGGAUCUAAUGGCUCCACUUGGGCAUCUGACAUUUAACCCGCCAUUUUGAUUUCAGCACUGCGGACAGCAGCCGGGUGCCUCGGAAGGAAAGCCGCUGGGCACGGGCAGGCUUCCUGGUUAAUGCUGCCAGGGUCUCCUCAAGGGCCCGCCUAAGUGUGUGUGGACUAGUAAAUGACGGUAACAAUAAUCUUGCAUACUUGGGUCAUUUAACCUGAGACCUUCCAGUUUUACAGCUCUGAUUUCUUGGAAUUUUUUCUUUUUUGCAUUAAAAGUUCAACCAUG